rnacentral:rRNA from 1 species
GACGAACGCUGGCGGCGUGCUUAACACAUGCAAGUCGAACGGAAAGGCCCUGCUUGCAGGGUACUCGAGUGGCGAACGGGUGAGUAACACGUGGGUGAUCUGCCCUGCACUUCGGGAUAAGCUUGGGAAACUGGGUCUAAUACCGGAUAGGAACCAUCUUUAGUGUGGGGGUUGGAAAGUUUUUUCGGUGUAGGAUGAGCUCGCGGCCUAUCAGCUUGUUGGUGGGGUAAUGGCCUACCAAGGCGGCGACGGGUAGCCGGCCUGAGAGGGUGUACGGCCACAUUGGGACUGAGAUACGGCCCAGACUCCUACGGGAGGCAGCAGUGGGGAAUAUUGCACAAUGGGCGCAAGCCUGAUGCAGCGACGCCGCGUGGGGGAUGAAGGCCUUCGGGUUGUAAACUCCUUUCGCUAGGGACGAAGCUUUUUGUGACGGUACCUAGAUAAGAAGCACCGGCUAACUACGUG